rnacentral:rRNA from 1 species
GAGAUUAGCUAGUUGGUAAGGUAAAGGCUUACCAAGGCAACGAUCUCUAGCUGUUCUGAGAGGAAGAUCAGCCACACUGGGACUGAGACACGGYCCAGACUCCUACGGGAGGCAGCAGUGGGGAAUAUUGCACAAUGGGGGAAACCCUGAUGCAGCCAUGCCGCGUGUGUGAAGAAGGCCUUCGGGUUGUAAAGCACUUUCAGUUGUGAGGAAAAGUUAGUAGUUAAUACCUGCUAGCCGUGACGUUAACAACAGAAGAAGCACCGGCUAACUCCGUGCCAGCAGCCGCGGUAAUACGGAGGGUGCGAGCGUUAAUCGGAAUUACUGGGCGUAAAGCGCACGCAGGCGGUUUGUUAAGCUAGAUGUGAAAGCCCCGGGCUCAACCUGGGAUGGUCAUUUAGAACUGGCAGACUAGAGUYUUGGAGAGGGGAGUGGAAUUCCAGGUGUAGCGGUGAAAUGCGUAGAUAUCUGGAGGAACAUCAGUGGCGAAGGCGACUCCCUGGCCAAAGACUGACGCUCAUGUGCGAAAGUGUGGGUAGCGAACAGGAUUAGAUACCCUGGUAGUCCACACCGUAAACGCUGUCUACUAGCUGUUUGUGACUUUAAGUCGUGAGUAGCGAAGCUAACGCGCUAAGUAGACCGCCUGGGGAGUACGGCCGCAAGGUUAAAACUCAAAUGAAUUGACGGGGGCCCGCACAAGCGGUGGAGCAUGUGGUUUAAU